UCGAGGAGACGUGUCGCUUCUAGCAGCGGCUGUGCCUGCGUCCUGGAUCCCUGGUCCUUUCCUUGCCCUGAGGUCUGUCUGUCGGCUUGGCACGGAGACUUCCACAAGCAGGAGAGGACGGGGAAGGGUGCACGUGUGCACGUCACUGAACUUUGACAAGUUGCACCAACACACUGGGAUACGAUUACUACUCAGCGAGGACAUAAGAGAGGCGCAUGGUUUCUCCAAGAAAGGAGAAGCAAAUAGAAAAGAUUUUAUUCAUUUGUUCAAGAGAGACACAGAGAGAGAGAGAGGCACAGACACAGGCAGAGGAAGAAGCAAGCCCCCGGCAGAGAGCCUGAUGCAGGACAUGAUUCCAGGAGCCCGGGAUCACGACCUGAGCCUAAGGCAGAUGCUCAACGACCGAACCACCCACGGCCCCCCGCCCGUAAAUCUCUUCUAAAAAGUAACAAAACCUAUUUAACCUGGGAGGGCAAAUCUUCACCUCGUGUGUCCGUCUGGGCCAGAAGCAGCAGACCUGCAU